rnacentral:tRNA from 2 species
GGAGAGAUGUCCGAGUGGCCGAAGGAGCACGACUGGAAAUCGUGUAUGGACUAAUACUCCAUCGAGGGUUCGACUCCCUCUCUCUCCGCCA